rnacentral:piRNA from 3 species
AGGUUCAGACAUUUGGUGUAUGUG